GUCGCGGUUGCAUUCGUGGUUGCAUUCGUGGUUGCAAUCGCGAUUGCAAUCGCGAUUGCUGCGCGACAACGAAAAGGCAAUAAUUUACAUGAAAAAGGUAUACGAGUAACGGAAGGAAAAGCGCGAACAAAUAUUUGAUCGCUUCGAUGAAAGCAGGGUGAAAAGCGCCCAAAGGACAGAGACGGUCGUAGAAAUGGCAAACGUCGACGAUAAAGAAAAUCAACGAGGAAUCAAGGUUAAACCGAAGAAAAUACUUGGGCGUCUUCGAUCGAGAUUUCCAUACGGUUCGAUCCACGGCCGAUCAACCCGUUCGCGUAAUUUCCAGUAUCGCAGAAUGCAAAACGGUCGAUCGCUGUUAGAUCUGUUUCGUUUUUAACGGUUGCUUCCUUACGAGGGACGAUCUAUCUAGAGUAUUCCUAACGACAUCGCGUCGAAAGAAGCGAAUAAUCGGCGUCGAAUGAUAUAUUAUAAGCCGUGUCCGGUAGCGACUUGCAUCUACCAUCCAACGGAUCUACGAAUACUCUUUCUUGUUUCGCGGAAACUAUUUUUCUUCAAAAUGGCAAAUAAAUAUCGUUUGGUUCGAUUCUACGCAAAAGGUAGAAGAAGAAGCUUCGUAAUCGUUGGAAAUGGUGUCGAAUCGCAUUAGGGGAUAUGAAACAUGAACGGUAAAAGGUAAGCGGCGAGCGGCGAGCGGCGAGCGGCAAGCGACAAGCGAAGAGUCAAGGGAUUGAACGAUCGAUACCGUUCAUUAGACAUUGGCUCGACGAAUGUGGGAUUUGGUCGUUACAAGGGGAAAAAGCAGAAUCGUACGAGUACAGGCCAGGUCCAGCCGAGCUCCGAGGAAGUUGCGCGGCUCCGAAGAGACGGUGGAAUAUUCUUCGCGGAAAACAAGCGGGAAGGAAGGCUGGUGGAAGCGAGGCGGAAGGGGAUCGAUGGGAAAAGGGGAACACGCGGAAUGUUCGUACAAAAAUAAAAAGUCCAUCCGUCUUUAUCGCGUUUCUACCAACGCGAAUGAAUCACGGAAUCGAGUACCCGGUGAGGCGAGGCGAGGCGAGGCUACUCCGAUCGGUGAAUCUGCAUCGUUACGCAAAUUGUUUCCAACGAUCGUCCAUAAAACGUUGUCCGCGAGAGGCCUUCGAACGUCUCUUAAAAAAUGUGUAUUUCCACCGUUGUUGCAAUUUAACCCUGCGAUCGAUGAGCAAAAACGAUUGGAAAGGAGAGUACGAUUGGAAAGGAGAGUACGAAGAACGAGAGGAGGCAGAGAAGAAGAGGGAGAUAAUCCGAAGGAGAUUGCGGAGGAUGUCGAGAAACCAAGAGCAACGGCCUUGACCUUGUCCGUGACUUUGUGGCAAAAGAGAGGGAGCGAGAGGAAGCGAGAAGGAAAGACGCAAGAAAUGACAUCGGUCGAAACAAAGUGGCCUGGUUUCUCGAUUGUGUCUCGUCGAUGUCUGCUGCACGGUCUGCCGACCGGCGACGGCAAAACCAGGGAAACGCGCUCGGUCGAUGUUAACGACUGACAAUGAGUCGAUCGUACCCUCGGUGAAACCGAAUGGUGACCCCGAUCCAUCGGCCAUGGAACGAUUUCCUUCGUUCAUCGUCGACGGUACAAGCGUCGUUGUAACGGAAGCGUGCGUCACGUUGACGUUGCUGCGAAAACAGCGAGCAUAAAUCUUUAUCUUGGGACCUUUGUAUAUCUUGGGACCUUGGGGAAAAGGUCCCUGUCCUUUGUUACCCCGUCAACCCCCGACCCCCUCUCUCUGUCGCUUUCUCUUUAGUCCAAUAAAGAUCUUUUAUGGCCAUCGUUUUCUAUUUGUAGUUUACAACGGUAUUAUGGUCGCCAAAUUGUAGUCUCUCGGUCUCGACAAAAUAUUCUUCCACAAUAUUAUACGAUGCAACGAUCGAUCUUCGCAUAAAUACUACUCGAUUACAUGUAUGACACAAAAUUAUAAAGAAUAGUCGAACCGUUUCGUAACGGUAUUGGUUCAA